UACGGAGGAUGCAAGCGUUAUCCGGAAUGAUUGGGCGUAAAGCGUCCGCAGGUGGCUAUGUAAGUCUGCUGUUAAAGAGUGAGGCUCAACCUCAUAAGAGCAGUGGAAACUACAUGGCUAGAGUGCGUUCGGGGCAGAGGGAAUUCCUGGUGUAGCGGUGAAAUUCGUAGAGAUCAGGAAGAACACCGGUGGCGAAGGCGCUCUGCUAGGCCGCAACUGACACUGAGGGACGAAAGCUAGGGGAGCGAAUGGG
rnacentral:rRNA from 1 species